UACGUAGGGUGCGAGCGUUGUCCGGAAUUACUGGGCGUAAAGAGCUCGUAGGUGGUUUGUCGCGUUGUUCGUGAAAACUCACAGCUUAACUGUGGGCGUGCGGGCGAUACGGGCAGACUAGAGUACUGCAGGGGGAGACUGGAAUUCCUGGUGUAGCGGUGGAAUGCGCAGAUAUCAGGAGGAACACCGGUGGCGAAGGCGGGUCUCUGGGCAGUAACUGACGCUGGAGGAGCGAAA
rnacentral:rRNA from 1 species